GCGGGGGUUUCCGAGCGGUCAAAGGGGCACGGCUUAGGACCGUGUGGCUUAGUGCCUUCGCAGGUUCGAAUCCUGCCUCCCGCA
rnacentral:tRNA from 1 species